UCCUUAUCAAGAGAAACUGAGGGACUGGCCCUAUGAUGUUUCAGCAACCGCAUAAUUGUGCAUGGUGCUAAAUCCAGCAGAACUUUGUUCUGAAAGAUGAGGG
rnacentral:ncRNA from 2 species